AGUGAACGCUGGCGGUAGGCCUAACACAUGCAAGUCGAACGGCAGCACAGUAAGAGCUUGCUCUUACGGGUGGCGAGUGGCGGACGGGUGAGGAAUACAUCGGAAUCUACUUUUUCGUGGGGGAUAACGUAGGGAAACUUACGCUAAUACCGCAUACGACCUACGGGUGAAAGCAGGGGAUCUUCGGACCUUGCGCGAUUGAAUGAGCCGAUGUCGGAUUAGCUAGUUGGCGGGGUAAAGGCCCACCAAGGCGACGAUCCGUAGCUGGUCUGAGAGGAUGAUCGGCCACACUGGAACUGAGACACGGUCCAGACUCCUACGGGAGGCAGCAGUGGGGAAUAUUGGACAAUGGGCGCAAGCCUGAUCCAGCCAUACCGCGUGGGUGAAAAAGGCCUUCGGGUUGUAAAGCCCUUUUGUUGGGAAAGAAAAGCAGCAGGUUAAUACCCCGCUGUUCUGACGGUACCCAAAGAAUAAGCACCGGCUAACUUCGUG
rnacentral:rRNA from 1 species